GACUGGUUGGCGCAACGGUAGCGCGUUCGACUCCAGGCAUCCAAUUUCGGAUGCUAGUAAUCGAAAGGCUAGGCGUUCAAAUCGCCUACUGGUCA
rnacentral:tRNA from 1 species